rnacentral:rRNA from 1 species
CAUAGGUUAAUGAGGCGAACCGGGGGAACUGAAACAUCUAAGUACCCCGAGGAAAAGAAAUCAACCGAGAUUCCCCCAGUAGCGGCGAGCGAACGGGGAGGAGCCCAGAGCCUGAAUCAGCAUGUGUGUUAGUGGAAGCGUCUGGAAAGGCGCGCGAUACAGGGUGACAGCCCCGUACACAAAAGCGCAUGUGCUGUGAGCUCGAUGAGUAGGGCGGGACACGUGGUAUCCUGUCUGAAUAUGGGGGGACCAUCCUCCAAGGCUAAAUACUCCUGACUGACCGAUAGUGAACCAGUACCGUGAGGGAAAGGCGAAAAGAACCCCGGCGAGGGGAGUGAAAAAGAACCUGAAACCGUGUACGUACAAGCAGUGGGAGCACCCUUUGGGGUGUGACUGCGUACCUUUUGUAUAAUGGGUCAGCGACUUAUAUUCUGUAGCAAGGUUAACCG